AACGCGAAGAACCUUACCAACUCUUGACAUCCCCCUGACCGGUACAGAGAUGUACCUUCCCCUUCGGGGGCAGGGGUGACAGGUGGUGCAUGGUUGUCGUCAGCUCGUGUCGUGAGAUGUUGGGUUAAGUCCCGCAACGAGCGCAACCCUUGUCCUUAGUUGCCAGCAUUUGGUUGGGCACUCUAAGGAGACUGCCGGUGACAAACCGGAGGAAGGUGGGGAUGACGUCAAAUCAUCAUGCCCCUUAUGAGUUGGGCUACACACGUGCUACAAUGGACGGUACAAAGGGCAGCGAAGCCGCGAGGUGGAGCCAAUCCCAGAAAGCCGUUCUCAGUUCGGAUUGCAGGCUGCAACUCGCCUGCAUGAAGUCGGAAUCGCUAGUAAUCGCAGGUCAGCAUACUGCGGUGAAUACGUUCCCGGGUCUUGUACACACGC
rnacentral:rRNA from 1 species